rnacentral:rRNA from 1 species
UACGGGGGGAGCAAGCGUUGUUCGGAUUUACUGGGCGUAAAGGGCGCGUAGGCGGUCAGCACAAGUCAAUUGUGAAAUCUCCGGGCUUAACUCGGAAAGGUCAACUGAUACUGUGCGACUAGAGUGCAGAAGGGGCAACUGGAAUUCUCGGUGUAGCGGUGAAAUGCGUAGAUAUCGAGAGGAACACCUGCGGCGAAGGCGGCUUACUGGCUCAUUCCUGACGCUGAGGAGCGAAAGCGUGGGGAGCGAACAGG